AUGAGCGAUAUACAUACUUACGUAAUACAUAAACAGUAAUAAUAUAAUAUGGUAAUGACUUAUGGUACAACGGGAUAUACUACUUGUAUAGUAUGUUAUCAUCGCAGUGCAGGAAUCAGGGAGUAUGGAUAUUGUAGGUACGUCUACAACGCUUGUAAACACAGUGCCUUUCUAUUUUUUACCUAACAACCCGAGGCAUGGGGGAUCGGGCUUGAAGGAUAGUGUUUGACCUUGCAGCGACUCUGGAACAUCCGUUAACCGCCUUGCCGCCGCCGCGCCUCUUAUAACUUUAUCGAGUUCGAAUUUCCGGCGGCAGAAGAUUGUUCCAGACUUUGCUUGCGAGGUAUCUGAAGCUGCCUUGGAACUUGGAAGUGUGGUGAAGCGGAGUGAUCAUCAGAUAGUUAGAUCCCCUGGUGGUCAUCGUCAGGUGUUUAUCGCAUGCCCACUGUAAUUUAUCAU